UACGGAGGGUGCAAGCGUUAAUCGGAAUUACUGGGCGUAAAGCGUGCGUAGGCGGUUAUUUAAGUCAGAUGUGAAAGCCCCGGGCUUAACCUGGGAACUGCAUUUGAUACUGGGUGACUAGAGUUUGGUAGAGGAGAGCGGAAUUUCCGGUGUAGCGGUGAAAUGCGUAGAUAUCGGAAGGAACACCAGUGGCGAAGGCGGCUCUCUGGACCAAAACUGACGCUGAGGUACGAAAGCGUGGGUAGCAAACAGG
rnacentral:rRNA from 1 species